rnacentral:rRNA from 1 species
GAUGAACGCUAGCGACAGGCCUAACACAUGCAAGUCGAGGGGCAGCACAUGCGUAGCAAUACAAUGGUGGCGACCGGCGCACGGGUGAGUAACACGUAUGCAACCUACCUGUAAGAGGGGAAUAACCCGGAGAAAUUCGGACUAACACCGCAUAAUACCUCGAAGCUGCAUGGCUUUGAGGUUAAAUAUUUAUAGCUUACAGAUGGGCAUGCGUAACAUUAGAUAGUUGGUGAGGUAACGGCUCACCAAGUCAACGAUGUUUAGGGGUUCUGAGAGGAAGGUCCCCCACACUGGUACUGGGACACGGACCAGACUCCUACGGGAGGCAGCAGUGAGGAAUAUUGGUCAAUGGGCGAGAGCCUGAACCAGCCAAGUCGCGUGAAGGAAGAAGGUUCUAUGGGUUGUAAACUUCUUUUGUAAGGGAAUAAAAAAGCUUACGUGUAGGCUAUUGUAUGUACUUUACGAAUAAGGAUUGGCUAACUCCGUGCCAGCCGCCGCGGUAACAC